rnacentral:misc_RNA from 1 species
GAUCAUUAGCAGAGGAGAGUUUUAGCAGUAGGAUUGGAUUAAAUUGGAGUAGUUUCAUAGUUUGUGUGUAGUGAUCUUAAUUAGCUUUGAUUAGACAGACAGUACAGUAGAGUAGAGGAUGUUGGCUGUGUUCAGCGGCGCGGUGGUGGAGGUGCCGGCGGAGCUGGUGGCCGCCGGCAGCCGGACGCCGUCGCCCAAGACGCGGGCGUCGGAGCUGGUCGGCCGCUUCCUCGCCGCCGCCGAGCCGGCCGUGUCCCUGCAGCUCGGCGACCUUGGCCACCUCGCCUACUCCCACGCCAACCAAUCCCUCCUCCGCCCAAGAUCCUUUGCAUCAAAAGAUGACAUUUUCUGCCUGUUUGAGGGAGUCCUGGACAAUCUGGGCAGGCUGAGCCAGCAG